CUUCUUUCAAGAUAUCAAUAUCUCCACAGGUUAGGCUGUUCAUCAUGGUGCUGUGUUUUUUUCUGUUCCCCGGAGUUUGGUCAUGUUCUUAUGGUAUGCUCCUUGAGUUGUGCUGUUUUGGAUUCUUAGCUCGAUCAGUUUUGUGUCCAGUGGGAAAAGGAGGUGAACAGGGAGCUGUGAGCUAUAUCAAGAUAUCUAUAUAUGGUUUGUUGUGUAUGCUCAAUCUCCCUAAAUUAUUAUUUUAUCUGCUAAAGUUUGCCAUGGAAAUCGACUCCAACAUGGCAUCAUAAUUGAUAGCAGCCAGCAAAACUUUGACCUCUAACACGUUUAUUUUCUAACAACAUCGAUAGUUUUGUCAUUAAGUUUCAAUCUUUUUUAUUUGGUUAAGGUGUCAUCGUGAUUGCCUUAUAAUUAUGUUCCCUGUGUUCUUUUUCCCCCUGGCAGCUGAGGAGUGAUCAGAGUGAAUUUUGGGCUUUUGAGUGAGAAUUCUAUGUUUUUUUUUUUUGUUGAAUUUAGGAUUUUCAAGAGCCAAGAGUUUACUUGACUGAGAUCGCAGACUUGCUGAUUAUGGCAUGGACUAUUCUGGACAGAAAUAGCAGACCAUGCCUUCAGGCUAUAUAUUCUGUGCUUCUUCUUCUUUUUUCCAACAGAAAAGAUAGCAAACAAGAUCUGUGGCCGCUGUUGCACCGUGGCAUCCAUUCCUUUUCUUUCUGAGAUUCAUGUUGACAGAUUGUACAAUCAAACACAAAAUGCUUUAUUCAGUUUCUCGAUCACAGCCAAGAUUAAAUUCUGCUUUGUGUCCGGUCCAUUAAUCUGUCCACUAUGUUCAUCCCUUUAAAAAAUAUAAGUAAUUUUUUUUAUAUGUGAAAAGACCUCUUUGGCUUAAAUAUCAAAAUAAAAAAGGAUGAAAAAUACAGGGGUAAUCCUAUAAAAAAAAUCUUAGCUUAGCUUCAUAUAAAUUAUUGGCCAGUGAAUCUUAGCUUAGCUUCAUAUGAUAUGAGUUAAGUUUUUAAAAAAUUUAACCUUUCAAUAAAAAAAUUAUUCCUGUUUUUUUAAAAAAAUUUAGUUUUGUCACUGACUCUUUUAUAAAAAUUUUAUUUUUUUAAUUUAGUCCUUCAAUUAAUUACAAUUUGAUUUUUAUUUUUUUUUAACUUUUAAUUUGUUUUUAUUUUUUGGAUCUUUUAUAAAAGUUCUAUUAAUUUUUAAUUUUAUCACUCAAUUCAAUAUAUUAAAAAAAUAAUUUUACCAGUAAAUAACUAGUAUCAUUAAUAAUAAUAAAAAAAAAACCGUUUGAGCAUUCAGGCUCGCCUAAGAUUCAGUCCAGGUUUCCCAAUAAGAUUAUUUAUAAUACGGCCGGUGAGAUGAUCGUUCUGUAAAAACCUGAAAAAUAAAGGACUGUGAAGCAAGUAGAUAACAGGACAGGGCUUCAAACGCCCUGUGGGAGAUGGGGGCAAAAGGGGCAAGAGACAGCAAGAAGGGAAGUCGGCAAAACAGUACUUGUGUGAUGGUGGCCUUUCCAAUUUUCCUUCUAUUUCCAAAAGCCCUAUGGGAAAUGCGUCAGCGAAGAGGGUUUUGAGUUAUGAAAUAUGCCAGCUUCUCCCCCCCUCCUGCACAACAGUACUUGUGUGAUGUGUCCAAUUUCCGCGUGAUGUGCUAUGAAAUGCGUCAGCGAAGGGAGGCUACUCCUUAGUUUUGAGUUAUGAAAUGCGUCAGCGAAGGGAGGCUACUCCUUAGUUUUGAGUUAUGCGUCAGCGAAGGGAUUUUGAGUUAUGCGUCAGCGAAGGGAGGCUACUCCUUAGUUUUGAGUUAUGAAAUGCGUCAGCGAAGGGAUUUUGAGUUAUGCGUCAGCGAAGGGAUUUUGAGUUAUGAAAUGCGUCAGCGAAGGGAUUUUUUCCCACUAUUUAAGAGCGCAGAUGCGAUCUCUUAUACAUACUUACAUCUCCUUGUUACUCACAACAUUAAGCAUCCAUUCUUGCUCUGCUAACUCGUCUCCUCAAAUUUGGUAAUAUUAUCAAUGCGAUCUCUUUCUAAUCUCACUUGAGAAAUUACUGCUUUUAUUUUCUUCUAAUUAACCAUUCCUUUUUGUAGUUAAUUUUAAGUCAUGGAUGGUUACAUCUUACACCCCCCUUCACAAGACUCGAUCACAUCAGGCUACUCCUCAGCUGCUAAAGGAGGGCUCGCUGGUGUCCUCGUCUUGCUCCUUGCUAUCGUAGUUUAUAUAUUCUUCAAGCGCCAAAACUGCCUCGAGGAGGGCGACCCCGAAAAGGUUCAGGUGAUCAAUAUGGUUCAAAUUAGAGAAAUAAGGAGGUACCUUACCAUGUAAUAAGAAGUUGAAGCUAAUUAAGAUUCAUACAAAUGAGAUUUUCCUAAUCUUCCCAUAUUGUUUUUGUAUUAAUUGCAGGAAUCCAUGAAGUACCCGGAUGCCUCGACUGUUCCUUCUUAGUUAUAUCAACUGUAUUGUUGCAGAAUCGAACCGUUUUAAUUUGUACUUUAUAUAUAAAUAAAUGAUUGUGUGAAUUUCGUGUUGGACUUAAACUUAAUAUUGAAUUGUGUUGCUGCCACUUUAUUUUAAAAUCGUCAUAGCAGAUAAUGAAUUGUGGGCUUUUUCUUUAUUUUUUAUAUUUUUUUAACUUUAAUUCGAGUGGGGUUUUACUAUUACCAAUUUACUGUGUUGCUGCUACUCUUUUUUUUUGGGUUUUAACCACGUGUAAUUUCUUAAUUGCUGGGGCUUGCUUUAGGAGCUUUCUUUUUAUAGUCUCUUGGUCGUCCAUAAAACAAACACUCACCGCAACAGUCACAGCCAAACUCUUUGUUAAACCGAUGGUGUUUCGGUGCGUUGAGCGCCGGAUCGGUGCCAACUCAUCUCCUCUGCGCGUUGAUGAGGGCGGUUUUUCUCGCCGCCAUCCAACGAGGGAUGUCCAGUCUUUUUGCCUUCCGUUGCUUUCCCUUUUGUCUUUGCGCGACUUUCGCCGUUGGUGGAGUUACUAGUGGCGUGGACCUGGACGGUUGAGUUGGCUUCUGUGAUCGCUUGAGUCUGUCGGAGUUGUCGCUUUUCGUGUUCUUUUAUUUUUUCCCGAUCCUGGUAGCUGGAUCGUUUCAUUGUUAACGGCUAUGCCGUGGUUUGGUGGUUAUGUUGGUAGCUGGUUCAAUGGCUAUGUUGGUGUUGGGCGUGCCAUGGCAGAAUUGCGCUGGGCAGUUGGGGUUUGUUUUUUAGAGGGAGAUGAGAAUUGCCAGGGGAGAUGGGUUGCGGUGGUGGUCCGUGGGUUUUGGCUUUGUUGAUUGGGAAGACGUGAUUUUCAUAAAGGCCAUAAUAUUUGAUUUUCAUAUAAAAAUAAGUAGGGAUUGAAAAUCAAUUUCUCAGGAAAACUAAAAAAAAAAAAUGCAAAAAUUAGGAUUGUAGUUGAGGUGAUUUUUAAAAUACUUUCUCAUUUUAAAUGAAAACAGUGAGAUUGGGCAGUUGAAUAUAUAUAUAUAUAUAUAUAUAUGAAAACAGUGAGAUUGGGCAGUCCAAUAUAUAUUCGUGCUAUCCAAACCCGAAGCAUGCCAGUUAGCUGGAGUUUUGGGAGUUUGUGUCCCCUGUCUUCGUGCCUUUAUUUUCCCUUUUUUUUUUCAUUUUAUUUAUACGGGUGUUCGGGCCAGCUUACGUGCACCACGACUAAUCCUACAGCCCACUGAACAUCUUGUAAAUCAGUGAACAUAUAAGGCACCGCGAAAAUAAUAUAUAUACACAGUAAAAUUUGAACCCAGUAUAAAAAAAAAACAAGCUCCUUUUAUCGAUAUGCCAAGAACUCAAGUGCUAUUUCCCCUUCCUUUUUUGUUUGAGAGAGAGAGGCUAGUGGAUAGGAUCAUGGGAAUUGGGAUCAUAGGAAAAAGGUUUGUUUAAUGCCUAAAGUGAGAGAUGCUGCAUGGUGCAGCAGCAGGUAGAACCUGCUUUUAUUUUUUAGCGUUUCAAUGAAUUUUGGUGGGAUCCAUGAAUAAUAUUUUGUUUUUUUUUUGUUAUUAAACGUUGUUGCAUCUGUGUUUUGACGCAACAACGUAGACAAACACAUUCUAUAUAUGAAAGAACAAGCUCCCGAUAUACGUCAAGCUCCCGAUUUCUGUCAGAUUCCCCUUAACGAAGCCACUUUAAGACAAUCAUGUUCCAACGAAAUCACGUUGUUGUAUCCCUGCAAAAUUUCUCUUUCUAGUCACACAAUCACUAAUAUGCCUAUCAUGAUUCUCAAUAGGCCAACAAAGAGUCAAAACCUUAUAGGCAUAUUUGUCAAGAUAGAGAGUGGACAUCCACUCAAUCUUUCCAUGCUAUUAGAAAAGGCAUCCGUACAAUUCCGAGACCUCAUUUAAGGAUUUCAAUUUGGAAAAAGAAUUGAUAGCAUGGAAAGAUUGAGGGGUCCACUCUCUAUCUUCAUUUGCUUUCUUUCUUUACUGGCACCGUCCGUGUCAUCGCCGACACAUGGAAAGAGAUAAUCUCUCUCUAAUUCUUAAUUUAUUACUAUAUGCAACUCUAUUUUGUUUAUAGGCUGGUCAAUUCUAAAAUACAGAUAAAAAUAAUAAUAAAAAAGCUCUUUGUUUGUUUAUUAUGCAUUUCAAAUAAAAUAAAAACAGUUCAGAAGAAACUGUUGAGAUUUUGUCCCUACUUUCUUUUUCUAUUUUCUUUUUUUAGCAUGGAGACUAAAUCUACCUCUUCAUGAUAAAAUGCAUUUCUCUUAAUUUAGACUGAAUUCUGAUUGAUGGUUAAGGAAAGAACACGUCAUUUUAACCAUUUAUUCAUCCCUCCUAAUGUUAUGCCUUUUUAAUUUAGCUUAUCCUUAUCGUACCGUGUUUUAGACCUAGUUUGGGGUUAAGUUAUCAAGUUAUUUUUUGCAUUUAAAACAUCAAAAUUAUUUGAUAACUCAACGAGUUUAAAUUUGUUUAAACUUAGGUUACUAACAUCUAAUUUUAAAAUUCAAAAUCAUCUUAUCCAAGACAUGCAUAAGAAAACCGAAACACAUCAUUUUAAUAAAAAUAAUUAACAUAAAUUGAUGUUUUUGCAAGAUAAAGGCAUGGAUACUUGUUAUAAAUAGACAAUAAAUUCAAGUAUUAAGAGUUAAAAAACAUCACAGGAGAAGAAGAAAGAGUAAAAGAGGUUAAAUUUUUGUUUAAAUUAAAGUUUUUUUUAAUUUUUUUUUAUAUUACAUUAUUUCCGUACCCUUUAUUUAUUGUUUUCUUUCUUCUCUUCUGGUUCGGCCUAUCGUGUCUUAUUCUUUGAAUCUUGAAGUGUCUUACAAAGAAGAUCCUUUAAUUAUAACAGCUUUUGGCGCUCGUCUUUUUUUGGUUCCAUUAAGAUUAAUAAGAGGAUAAGAUUGCGUGAGCGCAAGGCUUUUAAUAUACAUAUUAAAAAAUAUACUGGUCAGGUAAAAUUGCAAAGUCGUGAUUUUUAAUAUUUUAAUUGUAUUAGAUACAAUUUAUUUGUUUUUAAUUUAAUUAUUUGGUAUUUUAUUUUUAAUUGUUUUAUCAUCUUUAUUUUUAAUUUUUUUUUCUAAUUGAAUUUUAUUUUUUAAUUCAAUCCAUAAUCAUUUAAUUUUAAUUUUUAUAAUUAUAAUUUAAUUUUUAUUUUGAGUUGUCUUAUUAAUUAAUUGUUUUUUUAGUAACACCAAGCCUGAUAGUCGACACUCAUUAAUUAUGUCCCGAGGACGUCAACAUAAUUGCAUGUGAAGCUUUUGACAAAUUCCUCUCUCUAUUUUUCCUGCUCCCCACUAGGGUCAGAUGAAAAAGCAACGCAGGAAACCAACAGGACAUAGAAUGAUGCACAAAAAUUAUUGAAGUAAUCAAGACUGGCUAACAAGAACAUCCUUGUAAGGAGUUGGUGCAGGAAUAGGCGCUGCUCUUGUUUCUCCGGCUAUCCUUUACCCCCUCCUCUCCUCUGCUAGGAUUAGCGGCGCCUGGCCCUCCCUCUCUCGUCUCAAACGCACUGCCACCCCACAUCCAGAUUAAUGUGGAUGCAGCCGUGGUCUUCAUCAUCAGCUUUUUUUACAGCUACUGCUAUGGAAAUGAAUCAAACCACUUAAUUUUUGUGACAGGGAUCAAGUAGUUUACUUUGGAUCCAGGCAACCUCUUGGUUUUUCUGUGUAUGAGACAUGUAAUUACUUUAAAGGAUCUGAAGCAACUCAUAAAACUGAUUUGUUGCUUCGCUUUCCAACCUUGCUCAUGUUCUAUGAAAUAAAAAAAGCUUUUUGAUUUUGCUGCGUUCUUAGUUAAACAUGGAAUUCAAACCCUAACCCGCAGUGGAGCGCCGGCAGAAAAUCCAGUUACAUGCUGCAUACUUGACCAAUGGGGGGGGACAACCUUAUAAUCGGGUUGGUAGGGUAAGAAUAACAUUCAUUAUCGGGUUGAACUGAUUGAUUUGGUUUUGACGACUUAUAAUCGUUGUUGAAGAAAUUAACUAGCAUGACUUAAAAAACUUCAAUUAAAAUGGUCUGGUCUCGAAUGAGAAAACAGACCAAAUAUUUAACUGCAACAAUACAGUAGUAGAUAUAACUAAAAACCAACUGUCGAGGCGCCCGAGUACUUCAUGGAUUGCUGCCUUGACGAAGAAGAAGACCUGCAAUUAAUUCGAAAACAUUAUUGGAAUAUUAGAAGAAUCUCAUUUGUAUGAAUAUUAAUCGGGUUCAGCUUCUUAUUACAUGGUAUGGUACCUACUUGUUUCCCAGCAUGGACGCUCCUUUCUUGCAUUUCAACAUCACUCACCCCAACAACCUUCACUUGGCAGUUUCGGCGCUGGAAGAAUACAUAAACGACGAUAGUAAGGAGCGUGAUGACGACACCAGCAACUCCUCCUUUAGCAGCUGAGGAGUAGCCUCCGGUGGCCGAGUCUGGUGCAGGGUGUAACCAUCCAUGACUCAAAACUACAAAAUGGAAUGAUUAAUUAGAGGGGGGAAAAUCAGUAAUGUCUCAAGUGAGAUUAGAAAGAGAUCGCAUUGAUAACAUUACCAAAUUUGAGGAGGGAAAUAGCUUUGAUUUAUGCCUCACACACACACACACUUACUUUGAAGCGACGGUUGGAAGUAUCAAGGCCACUCUCGCUAGAAUGAAUAUCUGCCAUUGCAUAUCAUUGGUCCGUUUACUUUGAAAAAAUAAGAAAGGGAGGAGCACCUCUAAAUUCAUCAUCCAUAAGCAUGGCUUCCAAUGCUUCGAUUUCCAUGUCCUGCUCCUUUCCAUAGUCUGCCAAUUCAUCUCAUUCAACCAGUCAGUUAUUAAAACAUACAUAUUAGAAUGCCCCAUCACUGCAACACAACACUCCUCCACUGGGGAGGAACUAUUAACCAACCAAUAUAGGUACUGAUAAACAAUUAAUUCAAAGAUCCAUUUAAGAAAAUCAAAGAAAAUUACCAGUCAAGCUCGAUAAUUUUAAUCUCCUUCUGUCUCUCCCUUCCUCCAUUGCUAUUUUUUCUUUGCAAUAGAAUAUUAAUGCCUCUGUACUCAACAAAGCCAAAACCCACGGACCACCACCGCAACGCAUCUCCCCUUGCAAUUCUCGUCUCCCUCUCAAAAAAAAACAAAAAAACAAAAACCCAACCGCCCAGCGCAAUCCGCCAUGGCAAGCCCAGCACCAACAUAGCCAUUGAACCAGUUACCAACAGAACCACCAAACCAAGGCAUAGCCGUUAACGACGAAACGAUCCAGCUGCCAGGAGCGGGAAAAAAAAACACGAAAAGCGCCAGCUACGAUAAACUCAAGCGAUCACAACAAUCAACGCAACCGUCCAGGCCCACGCCGCUAGUAACUCCACCGGCGGUGGAAGGCGCGCGAAAACAAAAGGGAAAGCAACGGAAGGCAGAAAGUCUUCUUAUUUUUCACUUUUUUGGUUGUAUUUCCCUUUUUUUUUUUUCAUAUGAAACAUCUGCUUGCAGCCGGAGAUAGACCUCGCAACUGAUCAGUGUUGCCUCCAAAACCCACUACAUCGGCAAUGAAGCAUUCAUUGAAAGGAUUGGGAAAAAUAAAUAAAAAUGACGCCAGUUUUUAGUUUUUUAGUUGAUACCACAGACUUUCCUGUGUUUGGACAUGUUAUUCUUCCACGAUACAAUAGUGUGAAAGGAAGAAGUCGUGGUGGGUUGCCUUUGUACGAGUCCGUUUGCUUCUGCGUUUGAAGCAACCAUAAUAAAUAAUACGUUUAGUAACGUUAAAAACACAAUAAAAUUUUGGUAGGGUCCAUGAAAAUUCACGUUGUACACGUGAAUUUUGAGAAGCAGCUCCUGGCUGCUUCUCAAAAUUAAUUUACGUGCACAGUGUAAUUCACUUGCACUGUGCACGCCAACGGUGCAAUUUUUUGUGUGUUUUGUUUUUUGUAUUUAAAAAAAAUUAGUUUAGAGUGAAUUAAAUUCACUUGCACUGUAAUAUUAAAUCAAUUUUAUUCUUGAUAAUAUUUUAUCUAAUUUUAUAUAAAAUAAUAUUUAUUUUAUGAAGUAACAGUAAUAGUUAAAUCCAUAAUAUUUAAAUUAAAAACCAUCAGUAUUAAUAUAUAUUUUUAAAAUUAUUUUAUAACCUCAAUUUCAAAAGCACUCUUAACCAAACAUAUUAAACUACUUUUUAUUCAACCUCAAUUUCAACCACAGUUUUAACCAAACACCUAUUUUUUCAAACCAACCUCAACUAAAAGUAUUUUUUAUUUAUAAAACAACUUUUUUAAAACCACAACCGCAACAGCUACCGCAAUACCAAACACACUCGUAGAGUGACGAAUAUUGAAAAGGGAAAUUUGAAGAAAGAAAAAUGCUAAAAAAAGAUAAAUUUAAUAACCAUGUAUUAAAAAUAUAAAUAAAUAAAUUAAUUAAAAGGUAAAAUUACAUUUUAAAAAAAAAACUCAAACUCGUGGAAAAAACAUUAUGGACUACCUCACAUUCAAUUGCAUUGUUCACCGUAACAAUGUUAAAAAAAAUUUGUUUCCUUUAGAAACUUUUUGUUUAAAUCACCAAUAUAUUUUUGUAGAUUAGUCUUCAAAAAUUGCAUUAUAUGGUAUUUCAAGCUCAUAAUUUAUUUUAGUUGUUUUCUAUAGGGUUUUUUUAGGUAUUAAAGAGAAACAUAUCAAUUAGAUUGGUGUUUAAUUUUAUAGAAAAAAAAACAAUUUGGUUAUGCUAAAUGAAAAAAUUAUAAAUUUAGGGAUCCAAUUUGAUAUUAUGGAAAAUAUUAAUGAUUUUUCUUUUUAUCUCAAUGUUAAAAAUGUAUCUUUUCUUUUAUUCAUUUGAUGUUUCAUAAAAAAAAACAUGUGAACAUGUGGUCCCUUAGUUUUUUAUUUUAUUCAUUUGACCCUUAAUGUUUUGAGUUUAAAUUUUGAUUCAAAGCUAAUAUGAUUAAAAAAAAAAAAACAACGGUAGUGGAUAAAUAAAAAUAAAAUAAUAAUUAACUAAAAAGAUAAGUCAUCAAUAUCAUAUUCAGGAGAGGAAGAAAAAAAUUUCGUUGGAAACUCAAUGUUACUUUACCAUAAAAUUUUCCCAUCAUUAUAAAGAGCUAACUGAGACAUUUCUAGAACUAUGAAAGAUUGCAAGACAAUAUCGAAUGAGGCUGCAAACACAGCCAAAGCAAUGAUAUAGAAAUCAAAAUAAAAACAAUGGUGUGAUCAUCCGUGCUCAUAUUUAAUUAAUUAAUAUAAUAUAAUUUAUUUAAAAAACUAAAUUUAACAAAUAAUAACAAAUAAAAAGACCAAUAGAAUUCAUGUAAUUUUUAAAAUUAGUAAAAAAUUCUAUAAAAAAAUAAUAAAAUUAAAAAAGGAUAAAAUUAAAAAAAACAAAAAACAAGCUUGAAAAGAAAAGGGGGGGAUAGGCAAACCCGGUCGAAUUUUUUAAAUUCAAAUUAGUCUUUCAAACUCAUAACCCGUGAAAUCCUAAACUCGGAUUCAAUCAAUAGCUCAAUUCCCAACUAAUUUAAUGUUGAUGAUGAAAUUAAAAAAUAUAUUUUAAAAAAAUUUCAAAGUAAAAAUAAAAUAAAAAAGGGUCAAAUUAAGAGGAUAAAAAACCGGAAGAGAGUGAAAUCAUAAAAUGAAUUCAAUUUUUCGAUAGUUUUGUAACCCACCAUGGAAUUUUGGAAAUCAAAGUGGCAAAUGGAUUGGUUAAAAACAGAAAACACAAACCAAAAUAUUCAUUUAAAACCAACAGAAUGGAAAUUCUGCUGUUGAUCUCGAGCAAGCCAGCUAUGUGAUCACCACGGCACCUGAAUCACCUCAUCUAUCUGUGAACCUUAACCAAGAAAACAAAAAGGAAAGAAGAAAGAACUUUCCUGAAUCACCUCAUUAAUCUGUGAACCACAAAUAACUUGAAUUGUUAAAAAAAAAUUAUAAUAAUUAUAGUCAAAAUCAAGCCUUUGAUUAUCAAAUUACACAAAUUUUACAAGAUAUAAAUUUAAAACAAUAAAAAUAUUAAGGUACAGAUUACUAUAAUAUAUAAUUUUAUAUUUUUUUUAAACUCAUAAAAUUGGUCUGAUUUUACCAAGUUUGAACGAGUUUAACCAAUUUUAUUAAUUUUUAAAUUUUAAUUUAAUUUAACAUAUUAGAUAUAUAUCACACAUAAAAUCAUAAAAUUUUAAGAAACAAUUUUUUUUUUUAGACAAGUUCACAGCCCCGAUGAUGGUCAAUGAAAGAAUAAAAAAAAAAAAGCAUUUUGAUUUUUUAGCGUUCCGACAAAAAAUCUAGCUGGGCACGACGUCCUUGACCAACGCGUGGGACAUGCCUUUGGCUGCAUCUGUUAUUUGGGUGUGGUUUCCUUUCAAGAGAGGAUGCAAAGAGUUAUGUUUGGGUGUGAUUUGUUUAUAUGCAACUCAACGAAAAAAAGCCAUUUUAAGAAAUAAACAAAAUUCUCGAAAGAAGCAGUGACGAAAGAAAGAAAAUGGUAACCAAGUGCAUCCUUGUAGGGGGUUGGCGCAGCAGUAAUAGGUUCUCUUUUUGAAGAAAAUUACUGCUGUUAGACUACUGUUAAUUUCCAACUCAAGAAAUUAAGAAAUAUUAAUGUCCAAUUAUAAUGUAAGAAAACUUGUAUUCCUUCAAGACUAAUAAAAAGACAAUAAAAAUCCCAGUAUUAUUUUCAAAAAGAAGAAACAAAAUUGAAAUACUGAGACAUAUAAGAGAGUUUAAUUUAUGUUAGGUAACGUUUAAUUUCUCAAAAGUCAAAGCAAUUUCAUCGAGAAUAUUAUCUCACGAUCUGGAAAAAUAAAUAAGAAAAAAAUAUCAUCUAAAAAUGCUUCAUGAGGGCCAUAAUGUUUCAUUUUUUAUAAAAAGAAUAGAGAUAGAAGAUCAAAUAUAUAUAUAUAUAUAUAUAUAUAUAUAUAUUAUUUUUAUAUGUUUUUUGAAAUUAUUUUUAGUUCAAUACCUCUUAUUUUUUUUUAUAAUUUUUUUAAAAUGAUAAUUAUCUUUGUAUAAAUAUAUAUUCUGAAAUCAAUUAUUUUUUAAGUGUUCUUUUUUAAUAUAAAUAACUAAAUCAGUUUAUACACUAAUUUUAUAAAUUAUAAAAUUAAUAAUUAUAUAAAUUUUUAAUAAUAUCGAGAAGACUUAAACUUAUAUCUAUAAAAAAACAAAUCUAAAAUCUUAGUAUUUAGAUUUUAAGAUUUGUCUUUUUCAUCGUGUAGUAACCCCCGGUCCCCUGUUAGCAGACUCCGAGACCGCGCUCGCAUAUUUUCUCCAAUGUGAUUCUACCUCUUUUACUAAAAAUAUGUCCACAAAAAACACGCGCUCAAUCACACGCGCACAAAAACACCAAGACAUGCCGAGACAUGGCACAAAAACACCAAGACAUGCCACAAAAACACCAAGACAUCACCAGUUCUAAUUAAAAGCACGCGAAAACACCAAGGCGCCACCUCUUCUAUAAAUAGCGCAUCCUACUUACAUACUUACAUAUUUACAAAAUUAAGCAUCCACUCUUGCUCUGCUAACUUGUCUCCUCCUGUGUUUAAUUCCUCCUCAAAUUUGGUAAUAUUAUCGAUGCCAUCUCUUUCUAAUCUCACUUGAGACAUUACAGCUUUUAUUUUCUUCUAAAUAAUCAUUCCUUUUUGUAGUUAAUUUUAAGCCAUGGAUGGUUACAUCCUACACUCCCCUGCACAAGACUUGGCCACAGCAGGCUACUCCUCAGCUGCUAAAGGAGGGCUUGCUGGUGUCCUCGUCAUGCUCCUUCUUGCUAUCGUAUUUUAUGUAUUCUUCAAGUUCCGAAACUGCUCCAUGAAAUUUGAGAUGGAUGUUGAAAUGCCAUAAAGGAGCGUCCAUGCUGCUGCUGGGACAUAAGACAAUGAGAUUCUUCUAAUUUUCCAAUAUUAAUGUUUUCGUAUUAAAUACUCGGGCGUCUCGACCCUUUGUUUUUGGUUUCAUCAUCUGUAUUGCUGCAGAUAAAUAUUUGGUCUCUUUUCUCAUAAUAAAACAAUUCCAUAUAAUUUGUACCUUUUAUGGUGUGGAUUUUGUGGGAUUGUUUGUUUUUUUAUUUUAAAAAUAUUUUUAAGCCACGUCUAAGCUUCUUAUUUGCUGGGGCUUGCUUUAGGAGCUUUCUUUUUAUAGUCUCUUUUUAACGAAAAGAAGGUCGUCCUUCGGCUGCUUUCGCUUCUUCUUCUUCUUUUCGCUCAACUUCCGCCGCUGGUGGGUUACUACCGGCGUGGUCCUGGACGUUGCGUUGGCUGUCGUUAUAGCUUGAGUCUGUCGGAGUUUUCGCUUUUCGAGUUCUUUUUUUUAGGCUCCUGGCAGCUGGAUCGUUUCGUUGUGACGGCUAUGCCGUGGUUUGAUGGUUUUAUUGGUAACUGGUUCAUUGGUUGUGUUUUUUUUUUUCUCUCUCUCGAGAGAGGUGAGAAUUGCUAGGAGAGAUGGGUUGCGGUGGUGGUCCGUGGGUUUCAGUGCGUUAAGUGUGGGAUCGGUGCCAACUCCAUCUCCUCUGCGUGUUGAUGAGGGCGGUUUUUCUCGUCGCUAUCCAACGAGGGAUGCCCAGUAUUUUGGCUUCCGUUGCUGCGUUGACUUCCGUGAUUGCUUGAGUCUGUCGGAGUUGUCGCUUUUCUGUUUUUUUUUUCCCGCUCCUGGCAGCUGGAUCGUUUCGUUGUUAUCGGCUAUGCCGUGGUUUGGUGGUUAUGUUGGUAACUGGUUCAAUGGCUAUGUUGGUGUUGGGCUUGCCAUGGCGGAAUAGCGCUGGGCAGUUGGGUGUUUUUUUUAUAAGUAGACGAGAAUUGCCAGGGGAGAUGGGUUGCGGUGGCGGUCCGUGGGUUUUGGCUUUGUGGAGUACAGAGGCAUUAAUCUUCUACUACAAAGAAAAAAAAUAGCAACCGCGACCUGGAGGAAGGGAGAGACAGAAGGAGAAUAAAAUUAUCGACCUUGACUGGUAAUUUUCUUUGAUUUUCUUAAUGGAUCUUUGAAUUAAUUGUUUAUUAUUACGUAUAUUGGUUGGUUGAUAGUUCCUCCCCGGUGGAGGAGUGUUGCAGUGAUGGGGCAUGCUAAUAUUAUGUUUUAUCAACCGAUUGGUUGAAUGAAAUGAAUUGGCAGUCUAUGGAAGCCAUGCUUAUUUUAAUAACUGAUUGGUUGGUAGCUCCUCCCUUUAUUUCUUUUUUAUUUUUUCAAAGUAAACAAACCAAUGACAUGCAAUGGCAGAAAUUCAUUCUAGCGAGAAUGGCCUUGAUACUUCUUUCAAGGUAUCAAUAUCUCCACAGGUUAGGCUGUUCAUCACGGUGCUGUGUUUUUUUCUGUUCCCCGGAGUUUGGUCAUGUUCUUAUGGUAUGCUCCUUGAGUUGUGCUGUUUUGGAUUCUUAACUCGAUCAGUUUUGUUUCCAGUGGGAAAAGGAGGUGAACAGGGAGCUGUGAGCUCUAUCAAGAUAUCUAUAUAUGGUUUGCUGUGUAUGCUCAAUCUCCCUAAAUUAUUAUUUUAUCUGCUACAGUUUGCCAUGGAAAUCGACUCCAACAUGGC
rnacentral:lncRNA from 1 species